AUGCAGAGAUUGGGAAACGGAGUGAAGAAGUCAAUUAUCAAUUUGUUUUAGCUUGAAGGUUAUUACAAUUUCUCAUUUCUUCCACAGGAGCCAGUGGAAAAGCACAGGGACACACUGAGGUGACAGGUUCAUUGAGGAACAAUGCCCCUCCGAAUGAUGGAUUUCAAUGACUUAAGAUGUCAGAAUCCAUUAUAGGAAAUUUGAAUUCGCAAUUAAAGUGGGAGGGGCACUGACAGCAAGGGACAGACUAGAGGUGGAGCCCAUACUACCAACAGGCAUAAUAGUACAUCUGCACAUUAUUUAAUUGCAUAAAGUAAGCAAAUCAA